rnacentral:rRNA from 1 species
UGAUGCGAUCAUACCAGCACUAAUGCACUUGAUCCUAUCAGAACACCACAGUUAAGUGUGCUUGGGUGAGAGUAGUACUAGGAUGGGUGACCUCCAGGAAAGUCUUCGUGUUGCAUCCC